UACAGAGGUGGCAAGCGUUGUUCGGAAUUACUGGGCGUAAAGCGCACGUAGGCGGCUUUGUAAGUUAGAGGUGAAAGCCUGGAGCUCAACUCCAGAAUUGCCUUUAAGACUGCAUCGCUUGAAUCCAGGAGAGGUGAGUGGAAUUCCGAGUGUAGAGGUGAAAUUCGUAGAUAUUCGGAAGAACACCAGUGGCGAAGGCGGCUCACUGGACUGGUAUUGACGCUGAGGUGCGAAAGCGUGGGGAGCAAACAGG
rnacentral:rRNA from 1 species